GUUGAGGCAAAAAGGUGUUUUGUAUUUCUAUAUUUGGGAAUUGGAUGCAUACUCAUGUGUUAAUUAAAUGUUUAGACCUUCUACAUUGAUGUUCUUGUAUAUAGUAUAGUUUGAAAGAAAGAAAAAUGAGAAAAACAAAAGAAAAA